AGUGAACGCUGGCGGUAGGCCUAGCACAUGCAAGUCGAACGGCAGCACAGUAAGAGCUUGCUCUUACGGGUGGCGAGUGGCGGACGGGUGAGGAAUACAUCGGAAUCUACUUUUUCGUGGGGGAUAACGUAGGGAAACUUACGCUAAUACCGCAUACGACCUACGGGUGAAAGCAGGGGAUCUUCGGACCUUGCGCGAUUGAAUGAGCCGAUGUCGGAUUAGCUAGUUGGCGGGGUAAAGGCCCACCAAGGCGACGAUCCGUAGCUGGUCUGAGAGGAUGAUCAGCCACACUGGAACUGAGACACGGUCCAGACUCCUACGGGAGGCAGCAGUGGGGAAUAUUGGACAAUGGGCGCGAGCCUGAUCCAGCCAUACCGCGUGGGUGAAGAAGGCCUUCGGGUUGUAAAGCCCUUUUGUUGGGAAAGAAAAGCAGCAGGUUGAUACCCCGCUGUUCUGACGGUACCCAAAGAAUAAGCACCGGCUAACUUCGUG
rnacentral:rRNA from 1 species